GGCACCCAUUAUUGGCCUUGAUGAUGCCACCCGGAAAAGUGGAAUCACAGAAGAUGGAAGCAACAGUGCAAUCAUAACCUGUGCAAAAAUAAGCAACUGGUAUAUUCCUUCCACUCCUGAAGUCCAUACACAAUAAAGAGCUGGAACAAUAGCGAUAACUCUGAUUGUAGCAUGUUGAAGCCAAUUAGGUAUAUCUAGUCUGAGGAAAUCAUGUAAGACUACUUGCCCACCAACAUUCCAGGUUAAUGCUGUGAUUUGAUUUGUAAGAUACAAAAUGGUUAAAAAGGCAAGGGGUGCCAUUGGACUUCUGAACACCUGUUCCAUUAGUGACAUUGCAUCAGGAAAAGUGAGCAAAACAAGGCCAGUACUGUUGAACACACUUGCAGCUGAGUUCAUAAG
rnacentral:misc_RNA from 1 species